AAACCAACAGGGAUUGCCUCAGUAACGGCGAGUGAAGCGGCAAGAGCUCAAAUUUGAAAUCUGGUAGUUUUACUGCCCGAGUUGUAAUUUGAAGAGCUCAACCUUGGUAACCAGCGCUGUCUAUGUUUCUUGGAACAGGACGUCACAGAGGGUGAGAAUCCCGUUUGGUGGUGCUGUUGUUGCCUUGUAGGUUGUGUUCGACGAGUCGAGUUGUUUGGGAAUGCAGCUCUAAGUGGGUGGUAAAUUCCAUCUAAAGCUAAAUAUUGGCGAGAGACCGAUAGCGAACAAGUACAGUGAUGGAAAGAUGAAAAGAACUUUGAAAAGAGAGUGAAAAAGUACGUGAAAUUGUUGAAAGGGAAGGGCAUUAGAUUAGACUUGGCGCUUCAGGCACAUCCUCCUCUUGUAGGGGGUGCACUCCUGUUGUGCUGGGCCAGCAUCGAUUUGUGCGGUGGGAUAAAACUGCUGGGACGUAGCUGCAUUUUUGCAGUGUUAUAACCAGUGGCAAUACCACCAGCGUAGAUCGAGGACUGCGUCUUUUUAGACUAGGAUGCUGGCGUAAUGAUCUAAUGCCGC
rnacentral:rRNA from 1 species